AGAAGGAGGAAGGAGCAUGUUAAUAUGUUAAUAUGUUAAUAUAUAAAUAUGUUAAUAUGGCGCCGCCUCGCCGCCCGGGAAGCACACACGACCAACAAGAAGGAGCUGCCCUUCCACUCCUCUGCGUCGGGCAAGAGAACACCUGUCAAAAAGGCAGCUGUGACUUUAUUGGCUCCUCCAUAUGACUUCCCUCAGAGACACUGGCGGUCACCGCAGCCCUCCGACUUUCAGCUGUCAAAGAGGCAGCUGUGACUUUCUUGGCUCCUCCACAUGGCUUCCCUCAGAGACACUGGCGGUCACCGCAGCCCUCCGACUUUCAGGUAUGACUUUAUAAUCUCACUAAAACACUAGUAACACAAUAAGCAGAUAAGGGAUUUUCCAGAAUUAUCCUAGUAAAUGUGUCUGAAUCGCUCCCACUGCCGUCGCCUUUUUUAAAAACAUUUUCUAGUGCUUCACUCCAACUUUCCUCAUCCACAAAU